rnacentral:rRNA from 1 species
UAGGGAAUCUUCGGCAAUGGACGGAAGUCUGACCGAGCAACGCCGCGUGAGUGAAGAAGGUUUUCGGAUCGUAAAGCUCUGUUGUUAGAGAAGAACGUUGGUAGGAGUGGAAAAUCUACCAAGUGACGGUAACUAACCAGAAAGGGACGGCUAACUACGUGCCAGCAGCCGCGGUAAUACGUAGGUCCCGAGCGUUGUCCGGAUUUAUUGGGCGUAGAGCGAGCGCAGGCGGUUCUUUAAGUCUGAAGUUAAAGGCAGUGGCUUAACCAUUGUACGCUUUGGAAACUGGAGGACUUGAGUGCAGAAGGGGAGAGUGGAAUUCCAUGUGUAGCGGUGAAAUGCGUAGAUAUAUGGAGGAACACCGGUGGCGAAAGCGGCUCUCUGGUCUGUAACUGACGCUGAGGCUCGAAAGCGUGGGGAGCAAACAGG